rnacentral:misc_RNA from 1 species
GAUGAAGAACGCAGCGAAAUGCGAUAAGUAAUGUGAAUUGCAGAAUUCAGUGAAUCAUCGAAUCUUUGAACGCACCUUGCGCCCUUUGGCCAUUCCGAAGGGCAUGCCUGUUUGAGUAUCAUGAACACCUCAACUCUUCAUGGUUUUCCAUGAUGAGCUUGGACUUUGGGGGUCUUGCUGGCCUGUGGGUCGGCUCCUCUCAAAUGAAUCAGCUUGCCGGUUUUUGGUGGGCAUCACAGGUGUGAUAACUAUCUACGCUUGUGGUUUUCCUCCAGGGUAACCUUCAGCAGUGGAGGUUCACUGGAGCUUACAAAUGUCUCUCCUCUGUGAGGACAGCCCUUUGAAUGUUUGAUCUCAAAUCAGGUAGGACUACCCGCUGAACUUAAGCAUAUCAAUAAGCGGAGGA